GCCCAGUUGGUUAGGUGGGAAAGUACAAGGCUUGUAGCGCCUCAAGCAUGUGGUCUGGGGUUCGACUCCCCUUCUGCUCA
rnacentral:tRNA from 1 species